CCUACGGGAGGCAGCAGUAGGGAAUAUUGGACAAUGGGGGAAACCCUGAUCCAGCAAUGCAGCGUGAGUGACGAAGGCCUUAGGGUUGUAAAACUCUUUCAUCGGUGAGGAUAAUGACAGUAG
rnacentral:rRNA from 1 species